UAACUAAGCAGUUUGUAGUGCUGCAGCCCUCUCUGAAUCCGCUUUAGCAGUUAUUUAAAGUGCAGCAAGUUAGUGUUAUAGCUUAUCUUCAUUCAUCGGGGAAUUGAUUUUGCGUUUAUAUCAAAUUCUACAUUUUAAGAAGACUUAUAUGGGCUCUGUGUGGCAGUUGUUUGAAGAAUUUUAGAAAUUAUUCGCGGGGUGCAAGGAAUUUAUUUGGCUAGGCCCGGGCACAUGAGAUCAAAACAAUAAUAUUGCGGAGCGAUAGCAAAACACGUCUGUAUGCUACAGGAAUUACACGUGAACUGAAAUGUACUGACAGCGUGUGGUAUUGAAAGUGCUUUGAACGAGCUUGCACAUCCAUUCAGGUCAGAUAAAGUAUGACUCAUUAUAACCAGACUGCUCGAAGUCACUAAAGAUCACAGAAGGGCUUGGAUUGAAAAAAAAAUCAGAGGAGAUAACAUCAUUAAAAAAUUCUUUACGAGUGUAUUCACACAAUUAAAAAAAUAUUGAUACUAUUCUUAUUGCUAUUGAGAACGUUAUUAAUGAACUGUACUCCUAUUAUACUAGUAAACCAAAUAAGAAAUGUUCAGGUUUGUUAAUAAUUAUCAAGAAUCGUAUUGACAAAGUCAAUUCAAUGAUCAUAGAGCAACUGUGCAAAGAUUUUCUUUCGAAGCCUUAUAGAAAUAAAUCCGUUUUAGGCAAUUUGUGAAAUAAUUCUAGUUUUCUAAUCUUCGGCUGCCAGUUAUCCUCUUCAAAAGCAAUAAUAAGUAAAUUCUCUAUUCAAAGACAAAAAUUUUCAAGAAGAAUAGACAUAAAAAAUGGUAAAACAAAUUUGAAAAAUUUUACUGAAAUGAGGAUGUACCUAUUUCUAAAAAUACAGUUUGUAAGAUUAUGUCACGAUUUCAACAAAGUGGAUCGACGAAAAACAUUUGACAGACUGGAUAACUGAUGAGAUGGUCUAUGAAGAAUAGGACAUAUUCUGACGUAUGAUUUUUGCAGUACGAUAUUAAUUUGUACUGCAGGAAAACUAAUAUAAAUAGACAUGUGACUGAUAAAUUAAGUGGUUUUUAAUGAUCCUGCUCGAUUUUUCAGCACAGGGUAAUCAAAGGCAAAAGAGUCCGAAAGUCUAUUGAAAUAUGUCCUUUAAUUUAUAAUGACAAUUCAAUAUAAUCUUUUUAUAGGCAUAUUUGCUAUCUUUUUAUAGAUAUCUUUUUAUCAUUAGCGACCAGAAAAAACAAGACAUCAGACAUUAUGCUAUCAUUUGUAGCAAAGCCACAUGGAAGUAGUCGUUCAGUAGAUAAACAGCAUGAAAUUGAAACAGCAAAAAAUAAAUCCGACUCAAAGUAUUAAAUAUGAACAAAUUUCAUCCCUAUAGUUAUGCCUGUCCAGGCGUUAAAGGAAGAUGAUCGUUGUCUCAAAAUUUGCGAGUCCAUAAUGGAAUGAGUUUAUCAUAAUCCAUUAUUAAUAAGUAAUGUAGUUUUUUUCAGACGAGACACCAUUUCAGUCAAAUGGAAAUUUCAAUAGACACAAUUAUAGAUUUUAGUAUGAAAUUAAUCUUUAUUGGAUAACAGUCAUAUACGAUAUCUUUAAAAGCUAAAUAUCUGAGCAGUUUCAGCAAUAUGAGAAAUGAAAGAUAAUUCCGUAGAUACCUAAUUUCAGCAAGAUGGUGCUGCAUCACAUUUCGACAGUUUCUUGAUAUCAAUUUUCCCGAUAGAUGGAUAGUUCAAAGACGAAUGAUUGAAUGACUCCAAAAAUCCACUGAUUUAAUAUCAUUAAACUUUUUUAAUAGGAGUAUUUAAGUUUAAUCUUCAAAAUCUCGACGAAUUAAGAAACUAAA